rnacentral:lncRNA from 1 species
AUGCCGGAGUUAUCGCCGUCAUGCCGCCUGGGAGGCUGGGAUUCGCCGCGGGGGGGGGGGGGGGGGGGUCCGGCGGGAGAGCAAGCCGCUACCAGCUUCCAGAUAUUCCUCUGGUCGUUCGCAUGUACGCCGCCGCCGCGGCUUGCCCUUGAUUCCCCAUCCGCUCCUGCGAGUUCCUUCGCAUCUCCGCCAUCGACGCUCCACCGUGCUCGCCUCCCUCUCUACCACGCCACCUCGCCUUGCUCCUCGAUGACCUCUACAACACCAUUGCUCAUCCUACUGAGGAAG